rnacentral:sRNA from 1 species
CUCAUGGAUCUGCGAGGGCGAGAUCAGAUGCACAUGCGAGUCGAUCGCCCCGGCGGUGACGAUCUUUCCCUCCCCGGAGAUGACGUCGGUGGAGGGCCCGAUGAUGAGCUCGGGGGAGAUGCCGUCGGAGAUGUCCGGGUUCCCGGCGUGCCCGAUGCCGACGAUGCGUCCGUCCCGGAUGCCGAUGUCGGCCCGCACGACUCCCCACCAGUCGAGGAUGAUCGCGUUGGUGAUGACGGUGUCCAGGGCGCCGUCGGCCCGGCUGACCACGCUCUGCGCCAUGGACUCGCGGAUGGACUUCCCGCCGCCGAA